ensembl:lincRNA 4930509K18Rik RIKEN cDNA 4930509K18 gene
AGAAGAACCGGAAGUCGGGCUGGGCUGAGCCCCUCAAAGCCCAUUAACAGGGAACUACUUCUCCACCGAGGCUCCAUCCCCCUCAAGGCUUGCUUAGCUUUAGAGGGCUAGUCUUUGCUCAUUAUAGUAGGGAGCAGACAAUCAUGAUGCUGGAGCCGUAGUUAAAAGCUUUACAUCCUGAUUCACAGGCGGCAGACAGAGAGACACUGGACCUGAUGUGACUUUUGAAACCUUAGAGCCCACCCCCAGAGUCCCACCUUCUCCAACAAGACCACACUUCCUAAUCUUUCCCAAACAGUUCUACUAACUGGGAGCUAAGCGUUUAAACAUAUGACCACCUGGGAGCCAUUUUCAUUCAAACCACCACCGUCCCCAGUUGAGAAUCAUGGGAGUUACACUGUGCUUGCUCUGAGUUUACCUCUAGGAAGACUGGCAGUUUUUCCAUUAGGUUCUUGGAGCUCUAAGAGGCCUUAGAGAGAAGCUCUAGGACUCCACGGAGAGGUCCUGGGCCACCUGUCGUCAUUCUUUCUUCUAGCCAUCAUGUCACCAAGCUGGUGUGAAGGCCCUGUGGAUCCUCCAGGCCACCUCAUGAACCUGUUCACCAGACAUCACACCUAGAACAGCCAUCCAGUUGAAUCCUGCCCAAAUGCUUUACCCAUGAAAUGGGUUUCACGAGGUUCACACAUAUCUCAAACCUCAUCGGAGAAAUUUCUAUUUGCAGUAGACAGUGAUCAACGCAGAUACUUGCAAAUGGUCAAGGAGAAUCCAAGAAGGGCAUGAUGGUCUGGAUGCGAAGAUGCUUCCCUUCGUGUCUAUAAAACAGAGAAGACCGUCAGUGCUCAGGAGUCAGGACUGCUGCUGUGUCCCUCAGUGACCCACUUAGAGGAGAUACCUGGACAACGUCAGCCACCCUGGUCAGAGCAUUCAUCCUCUGGUCCUGAGAUCCUCUCCUGCUUCCCCCGAGUCUUUCUCUGUGAACUUGUCUUUCUCUUUUCACGUUCUACUUUCAUAAAGGAAUAAAGAUAGAAUAUUUAAAUUUAAAAAAAAAUCCCACAAAGAUAUAGUAUUUAAAAGGAGCACUCAGCCUAACUCAAGUUCCAUUUUUGGGUCUGAGUGACAAGAGCCCCCGUUUGCCUGGCUUGUCCUCUCUCUGUAUAUGUUGCUUCCUCUUGGGACCACACAGGAGCAGUGACUUUGUAGCAACUAGAAUUUAUAUGGUAAGGAUCCAGUGUCCAAGACAUUUGCCUCUCAAAUUAUAAAUAUCUUUCUACAUUCAAAGAGCUGUGUUUAUGGAAAUAAUAUCUAUGGUUAAGCUUCUUAAACAUCAAUUUCAUAAUGCUUAGGAAACCCUGGCAUUAACAGUAUAUAUGAAGGUCCCUUCCUUCGCCAGCAGUUGAAUCUAUAGUAUGCUGUUAACCCAAGUCUUCACUGACCUACCUCUGGCUUCUUGGUUUGGUUUCUCCUUGGGAGGGCACCAGCUCAUGGGUGUCUUUUACCGCUAUGUCUUAUGUGCUUGUUUCUUUGUGUUAUUCAUUAAAUAGUGACGAGACUAUCACUACUAUUAAGUAGGGAGACACUAGGCAUAGCCAAGACAUUGCCAUGCCCUAGAAGUCUCUAGAUUUCCAAGUAUGUCAAUAUCUUCUCCAAAUCUUUCUUCCUACGAAUGAGCAUGUUGCCAUGGUAACAGCUGAGUAUUGGUGUUAAUAAGAAGUCUUGCAAGGAGGAAAAUUCUUUUAAUGUAAAGGUAGCACUGUGACUUAUUUAUUUAAAUCAAUUAUUCAUUCCCUUAUUAAAUGAGUUUUCAAGCUGC